CGUGCAUGUCUUCAAUGUGUUUGUGGUGCAGACGUAUUUCAGAUAGUUUACUUACAUGUACAAAGCGUCAUUUGUGACGAGCGGCGAGGGAUUACGAAUACGAGCUCGGAGCAUAGCCGCCACUGUGAAGGACAGCCGGACCCACCUUUAUGGAGGAAGUCAUUGAUGAUAUAAAGGAUGUUGCUGCACCAGAGACAUCAAAGCACAAGAAACGAAGGAACCGACGCCACAAGUCGCAAGAGGCCAGGACAGAGGAGCCGAGCGCUACAGUGGAAGCUGUGCCAAUCGACGCCGCAGACGCUGCCGCCGCCGCAGCCUGCGCUGCUGCUGCCUCGAUGGGAACACCUGCAGAG